GUUUCAAUUCCUCAUAGGCAGGCUAUCGGCCAUUAAUGCCGCUUUACCUACGCUAAUGGGGAAUAUG
rnacentral:sRNA from 1 species